UACGGUGAGGGGCAAGCGUUGUCCGGAAUUAUUGGGCGUAAAGAGCGCGUAGGCGGUCCGAUAAGUCGGCUGUGAAAGUCCAGGGCUCAACCCUGGAAAGCCGGCCGAUACUGUCGGGCUAGAGUCCGGAAGAGGAGAGUGGAAUUCCCGGUGUAGCGGUGAAAUGCGCAGAUAUCGGGAAGAACACCCGUGGCGAAGGCGGCUCUCUGGGACGGUACUGACGCUGAGACGCGAAAGCGUGGGGAGCGAACAGG
rnacentral:rRNA from 1 species